GGAUGCGAUCAUACCAGCACUAAUGCACCGGAUCCCAUCAGAACUCCGAAGUUAAGCAUGCUUGGGCGAGAGUAGUACUAGAUGCGGUGACCCCUGGGAAGUUCCCGUGUUGCAUCCC
rnacentral:rRNA from 1 species